AUGAACGCUGGCGGCGUGCCUUAAGCAUGCAAGUCGAACGGUUGAGUUGUUCCCGCAAGGGAGUAAUAAUAUAGUGGCGGACGGGUGAGUAGAAGCAAGGAACGUACCCUUUACUGUGGUAUAGCUCGUCGAAAGACGGGGUAAUACCGCAUGAGGUCUUACGAUCAAAGGGGUUAACCCCCCGGUAAAGGAGCGGCCUUGCACCUAUCAGCUAGUUGGUGGGGUAAAAGCCUACCAAGGCUACGACGGGUAGGGGGUGUGAGAGCACGACCCCCCACAAUGGCACUGAGACACGGGCCAUACGUCUACGGACGGCAGCAACUGGGAAUCGUUGGCAAUGGGCGAAAGCCUGACCACGCGACGCCGCGUGAGGGAUGAAGUAUUUCGGUAUGUAAACCUCUUUUGCCAAAUCGUCGAGAUUUGGAGAAUAAGCACCUACAAACUACGU
rnacentral:rRNA from 1 species